rnacentral:rRNA from 1 species
UACGUAGGUGGCGAGCGUUUGUCCGGAUUUAUUGGGCGUAAAGCGCGUGCAGGUGGUUGGUUAAGGCCGAUGUAAAAUCUCCCGGCUCACCUGGGAGGGCGCGUUGGCGACUGGCCGACUGGAGGCAGGUAGAGGCCGGUGGAAUUCCCGGUGUAGUGGUGAAAUGCGUAGAUAUCGGGAGGAACACCAGUGGCGAAAGCGGCUUCCUGGACCAGUACCGACGUUCAGGCACGAAAGCGUGGGGAGCAAACAGG